GGAAGGUUAAGUUACGUAGACUACAGUACUUCAAAUACUGAAGAGAGGGGGCGUCCUCACUUUUCG
rnacentral:tRNA from 1 species